rnacentral:misc_RNA from 1 species
AAGUCGUAACAAGGUAACCGUAGGUGAACCUGCGGUUGGAUCAUUAACAAAUAUUAUUGAGUUUUUUCUCCCUAAAUGGGAGGGAAUCUCUCUAACACUUGUGUGCACUGUUUACUGUCUCUCGGUGAUUGGAGAGGAGGGGGUAAUUAUUACCCUCCCUACCUUCACCAACUUAAACUUGAUUUAAAAAAAACUUUAUGCCUUUAAUUUUAAAUUUAUAAUUUGAAAACAACUUUUAACAACGGAUCUCUAGGCUCUC